UGAAAACACUCUGGAGAGACCGGUUCAAUCCGGCGCCGAAGGUGCACGAAGCGACCCUCCCCCCGCUGCCGUCACGGAGCCCGCUUCCGAACUCUCAGGCAAAAGGACAGAGGGGCGCCC
rfam:Lysobacter arseniciresistens ZS79 contig6, whole genome shotgun sequence.